CACGGAAAUGUAUUUUCUGCGAUUAUUCCGAUUAAAGGAUCCAGGUUCUCGCAAAAGACGAACUUUCUCGGAAAAGCUCGGUGAGGGUGAGCGGUGGUGGCGCGGUGUCGCGAUGCUCGGAACCCAGCCAACAACAGGCCGUGGCUUGUACCAAUGUAUUUAGGGCUUCGACGCGUCGUGGCUUCUCCGCGAGCAAGGCGAGCACACGUCAGGUGUCCGAUACCGAGCCGAUCGGCAAAUUAAUUUGUCAAACGCUGUUUGCCUUGCCCCGAAAACCGAACAAACUAAAAGGUAUCCGAUCCAAGUUUUCCUACUCAAUUAUUCCAGUUUGAUACAAAACUGCAACUAAAUUGCCUCAACGAGUACAUUUAACAAAAAAAAAAAAAAAAAAAAAAAAAAAAAAAAAAAAAAAAAAAAAAACAGAGAAAA